CGGGAGUACAUCAGCGGCGAACGGGUGGGUAACACGUGGGUGACUUGCCCCGAAGAUGGGGAUAACCUCUGGAAACGGGGGCUAAUACCCAAUGUGCUCGGUGAUUCGGUUCAUCGAGUAAAGCUCCGGCGCUUCGGGAGAGGCCUGCGGCCCAUCAGCUAGUUGGUAGGGUAACGGCCUACCAAGGCAGAGACGGGUAGGGGGCGUGAGAGCGCGGACCCCCACACUGGCACUGAGAUACGGGCCAGACUCCUACGGGAGGCAGCAGUAAGGGAUAUUGCGCAAUGGACGAAAGUCAGACGCAGCGACGCCGCGUGGGCGAUGAAGGCCUUCGGGUUGUAAAGCCCUUUUAUGGGGGAAGAGAAAAAGGACGGUACCCCAGGAAUAAGUCCCGGCUAACUACGUGCCAGCAGCCGCGGUAAAACGUAGGGGACAAGCGUUAUCCGGAUUCACUGGGCGUAAAGAGCGUUGAGGCGGUUCCGUAAGUUGGGCGUGAAAGCUCCGGGCUUAACUCGGAGAUGUCGUUCAAUACUGCGGGGCUUGAGGACAGCAGAGGAAGGUGGAAUUCCCGGUGUAGUGGUGAAAUGCGUAGAUAUCGGGAGGAACACCCGUGGCGAAGGCGGCCUUCUGGGCUGUUCCUGACGCUGAAGGCGAAAGCUAGGGGAGCGAACGGGAUUAGAUACCCCGGUAGUCCUAGCUGUAAACGAUGGAUGCUGGGUGUGGGGGGUGUAAAUUCCCUCUGUGCCGAAGCAAACGCGUUAAGCAUCCCGCAUGGGGACUACGGCCGCAAGGCUAAAACUCAAACGAAUUGACGGGGGCCCGCACAAGCAGCGGAGCGUGUGGUUUAAUUCGAUGCUACACGAAGAACAUUACCUGGGUUUGACAUGCACGUGGUAGGGAACCGAAAGGGGACCGACAUUCGGGAGCGUGCACAGGUGCUGCAUGGCUGUCGUCAGCUCGUGCCGUGAGGUGUCGGGUUAAGUCCCGUAACGAGCGCAACCAUUGCCCUUAGUUACAAGUGUCUAAGGGGACUGCCCGGGACAACUGGGAGGAAGGUGGGGAUGACGUCAAGUC
rnacentral:rRNA from 1 species